rnacentral:rRNA from 1 species
UACCGCAUAACAACUUGGACCGCAUGGUCCGAGUUUGAAAGAUGGCUUCGGCUAUCACUUUUGGAUGGUCCCGCGGCGUAUUAGCUAGAUGGUGGGGUAACGGCUCACCAUGGCAAUGAUACGUAGCCGACCUGAGAAGGUAAUCGGCCACAUUGGGACUGAGACACGGCCCAAACUCCUACGGGAGGCAGCAGUAGGGAAUCUUCCACAAUGGACGAAAGUCUGAUGGAGCAACGCCGCGUGAGUGAAGAAGGGUUUCGGCUCGUAAAACUCUGUUGUUAAAGAAGAACAUAUCUGAGAGUAACUGUUCAGGUAUUGACGGUAUUUAACCAGAAAGCCACGGCUAACUACGUGCCAGCAGCCGCGGUAAUACGUAGGUGGCAAGCGUUGUCCGGAAUUAUUGGGCGUAAAGCGAGCGCAGGCGGUUUUUUAAGUCUGAUGUGAAAGCACUUCGGCUCAACCGAAGAAGUGCAUCGGAAACUGGGAAACUUGAGUGCAGAAGAGGACAGUGGAACUCCAUGUGUAGCGGUGAAAUGCGUAGAUAUAUGGAAGAACACCAGUGGCGAAGGCGGCUGUCUGGUCUGUAACUGACGCUGAGGCUCGAAAGUAUGGGUAGCAAACAGGAUUAGAUACCCUGGUAGUCCAUACCGUAAACGAUGAAUGCUAAGUGUUGGAGGGUUUCCGCCCUUCAGUGCUGCAGCUAACGCAUUAAGCAUUCCGCCUGGGGAGUACGGCCGCAAGGCUGAAACUCAAAGGAAUUGACGGGGGCCCGCACAAGCGGUGGAGCAUGUGGUUUAAUUCGAAGCUACGCGAAGAACCUUACCAGGUCUUGACAUACUAUGCAAAUCUAAGAGAUUGGACGUUCCCUUCGGGGACAUGGAUACAGGUGGUGCAUGGUUGUCGUCAGCUCG